UAAACGGUUGUGAUUAGAACAAGUAAUUAAGUCUUCCUCAUCCAGAGAGCCCGGGUAGCUGAGAACCGGACAGACAGGCUUAACGAACACACAUCUAUGAACUGCUAAGGUGAACCAGUCUCAUUAGCCUUAGCCGAAUUGGUUUCGUUAUCCAAGUUGACUUGAUCAACAUGAGGUCUGCCGUGCGAACGGUAGAUGAAAUAAGGUGGAACCACGCGUAAACGUCCUUUUA
rfam:Lactobacillus plantarum WCFS1 complete genome